UGGGGAAUCUUGGGCAAUGGGCGAAAGCCUGACCCAGCCAUGCCGCGUGGAGGAAGACACCCCUAUGGGGCGUAAACCCCUUUUGUGCAGGAAGAAGGCCUCAGUCACCGAGGUUUGACGGUACUGCACGAAUAAGCACCGGCUAACUCCGCGCCAGCAGCCGCGGUAAUACGGAGGAUGCAAGCGUUGUCCGGAAUCACUGGGUGUAAAGGGUGUGUAGGCGGGAUUGUAAGUCAGAGGUGAAAUCUUGCGGCUCAACCGUAAAAUUGCCUUUGAUACUGCAGUUCUUGAGUCCCGGAGAGGUUGUUGGAAUUCGUGGUGUAGCGGUGAAAUGCGUAGAUAUCACGAGGAACACCAGAGGCGAAAGCGAACAACUGGACGGGUACUGACGCUAGGCACGAAAGCGUGGGGAGCAAACAGGAUUAGACACCCUGGUAGUCCACGCUGUAAACGAUGAAUGCUCGGUGCUGCCUCCCUUUGAGGGGGCAGCGCUUAAGCUAACGCGUUAAGCAUUCCACUUGGGGAGUACGCUCGCAAGAGUG
rnacentral:rRNA from 1 species